rnacentral:rRNA from 1 species
CUGGCGGCGUGCCUAACACAUGCAAGUCGAACGGAGUUAAGCCCUUCGGGACUUAACUUAGUGGCGAACGGGUGAGUAGCGCGUGAGGAACCUGCCUUUCAGUGGGGGACAACAGUUGGAAACGACUGCUAAUACCGCAUGAAACUUUUUGGGGACAUCCCUGAAAAGUCAAAGCUUUAUGUGCUGAAAGAUGGCCUCGCGUCUGAUUAGAUAGUUGGUGAGGUAACGGCUCACCAAGUCGACGAUCAGUAGCCGGACUGAGAGGUUGAACGGCCACAUUGGGACUGAGACACGGCCCAGACUCCUACGGGAGGCAGCAGUGGGGAAUAUUGCACAAUGGAGGAAACUCUGAUGCAGCGAUGCCGCGUGAGGGAAGAAGGUUUUCGGAUUGUAAACCUCUGUCUUCAGGGACGAUAAUGACGGUACCUGAGGAGGAAGCUCCGGCUAACUACGUG